GACGAACGCUGGCGGCGCGCCUAACACAUGCAAGUCGAACGGAGAAAUCACUUCGGUGGUUUCUUAGUGGCGGACGGGUGAGUAACGCGUGAGCAACCUGCCCUUUUGAGGGGGAUAACGUCUGGAAACGGACGCUAAUACCGCAUAAAACAGCAGUGGGGAAUCCCACAACUGUCAAAGGAGUAAUCCGCAAAAGGAUGGGCUCGCGUCUGAUUAGAUAGUUGGUGAGGUAAUGGCUCACCAAGUCUGCGAUCAGUAGCCGGACUGAGAGGUUGAACGGCCACAUUGGGACUGAGACACGGCCCAGACUCCUACGGGUGGCAG
rnacentral:rRNA from 1 species